GAUGAACGCUGGCGGCGUGCCUAAUACAUGCAAGUCGAGCGAAUGGAUUGAGAGCUUGCUCUCAAGAAGUUAGCGGCGGACGGGUGAGUAACACGUGAGUAACCUGCCCAUAAGACUGGGAUAACUCCGGGAAACCGGGGCUAAUACCGGAUAAUAUUUUGAACUGCAUGGUUCGAAAUUGAAAGGCGGCUUCGGCUGUCACUUAUGGAUGGACCCGCGUCGCAUUAGCUAGUUGGUGAGGUAACGGCUCACCAAGGCAACGAUGCGUAGCCGACCUGAGAGGUUGAUCGGCCACACUGGGACUGAGACACGGCCCAGACUCCUACGGGAGGCAGCAGUAGGGAAUCUUCCGCAAUGGACGAAAGUCUGACGGAGCAACGCCGCGUGAGUGAUGAAGGCUUUCGGGUCGUAAAACUCUGUUGUUAGGGAAGAACAAGUGCUAGUUGAAUAAGUUGGCACCUUGACGGUACCUAACCAGAAAGCCACGGCUAACUACGUGCCAGCCGCCGCCGUAACAC
rnacentral:rRNA from 1 species